rnacentral:rRNA from 1 species
GAUGAACGCUGGCGGCGUGCCUAAUACAUGCAAGUCGAGCGAACAGAUGAGGAGCUUGCUCCUCCGACGUUAGCGGCGGACGGGUGAGUAACACGUGGAUAACCUACCUAUAAGACUGGGAUAACUUCGGGAAACCGGAGCUAAUACCGGAUAAUAUAUUGAACCGCAUGGUUCAAUAGUGAAAGACGGUUUUGCUGUCACUUAUAGAUGGAUCCGCGCCGCAUUAGCUAGUUGGUAAGGUAACGGCUUACCAAGGCAACGAUGCGUAGCCGACCUGAGAGGGUGAUCGGCCACACUGGAACUGAGACACGGUCCAGACUCCUACGGGAGGCAGCAGUAGGGAAUCUUCCGCAAUGGGCGAAAGCCUGACGGAGCAACGCCGCGUGAGUGAUGAAGGUCUUCGGAUCGUAAAACUCUGUUAUUAGGGAAGAACAAAUGUGUAAGUAACUAUGCACGUCUUGACGGUACCUAAUCAGAAAGCCACGGCUAACUACGUG